GUUGGUUAUUUUUGGGCUAAGAAAGGGUGAUGAAAUCUCCAACUUAUCUUAUUAAUGAAUAUUACCCUUAAGUUGAUUUGAGAUGAAUAUGCAUAAUCAAUUUCAAACAAGGAGUUCUAUGUGACUAAAUUAUAUGCAUGUAAUUAAUCCAACUUGAAAGCUCACCUUGUCUUCAGCGAUCAUCAAAAGUAAAUCUAAGAUGAUGAAUACUUCUAAACAAUUAAGUUUCUACUCUUG
rnacentral:lncRNA from 1 species